rnacentral:lncRNA from 1 species
ACAAACAGUGUUGGGUUCGACAUUUACAACUGUUUGUUUCUUGAAAAAUAAGGUAACUACCUGUCAAAGAUAGAUGAUAAUAGUGUUAAACCGUAAAGUAUAAUUUUUGUUAAAAUUAUAGUGUUAAACCGUGAUUCUAUUAAACUCUCUUAUUAAAUUUAAUUUUCAAUUUUCAUAGAUGUGGAUUCUCUAGUGCUUAUGGUUAG